GCAGCAGAAACGUUGUCGGCGCAUGAACAUGCAUCCAGUUUCAUGUUUAAAUGCGUGCGUGAAGGUUGGAUAUUUUGAGAGUGCAAAAGGAGCCCUAGUCCCGCAAACGAAACAAGCCACAAGAAGUGGGUCAAAAUUUAUUUGAAAACUAAACAAAACAACGCACCAAACAUGAACAUUCAAAUCACAACAACAUACACACGCAGACGCCAAAAAUAAGUAAAAGCACACGCAGAGAGUUUACGGCACUGUUAAAAACUACAUAGAUGAUGAGCAAGCGCAGCUAUAACAAGAACAACAACAGGAGCAGCAGCGACAACAGCAACAAUAACAACAACAGAGCAAGAAGCAACACUCAUACACACACACACUCGCACACACACACAUGUAGAGAGAGAAACGAGGAGGCAUGAUUAUUAUGUUGUGUUUUUAGUCGAAUGUAUCUUUUAGUCGGGAAAAGGAAUACACGAAUGUCGGAGUCGCAACGGGCCACAAACGAAUUACGCAUAAGAUCUCACGGUCUUGCUACUUACUAUAAAAGAAUCUCGCAUUUUCGAAACGCAUCAAAAAAAAUAACAGAAAAA